rnacentral:rRNA from 1 species
UAUUUGUCAAUGGGCGAGAGCCUGAACCAGCCAAGUCGCGUGAAGGAUGAAGGAUCUAUGGUNUGUAAACUUCUUUUAUAUGGGANNAANNNGNGGAACGUGUUCCUUUUUGUAUGUACCAUAUGAAUAANNNUNGNCUAACUCCGUGCCAGCAGCCGCGGUAAUACGGGGGAUGCGAGCGUUAUCCGGAUUUAUUGGGUUUAAAGGGUGCGUAGGUGGUUAAUUAAGUCAGCGGUGAAAGUUUGUGGCUCAACCAUAAAAUUGCCGUUGAAACUGGUUGACUUGAGUAUAUUUGAGGUAGGCGGAAUGCGUGGUGUAGCGGUGAAAUGCAUAGAUAUCACGCAGAACUCCGAUUGCGAAGGCAGCUUACUAAACUAUAACUGACACUGAAGCACGAAAGCGUGGGGAUCAAACAGG